ensembl:lncRNA
UCAAGGUUGUCCAAGUUGGCCUGAGGGUCAUCCAAGGUGGUCCAAGGUGGUCCAAGGGUCAUCCAAGGUGGUCCAAGGUGGUCCAAGGGUCAUCCAAGGUGGUGCAAGGGUCAUUCAAGGUUGUCCAAGGUGGUCCAAGGGUCAUCCAAGGUGGUCCAGGGUGGUCUAAGGAGGUCCAAGGGUGGCCUGAGGGUCACUCGAGGUGUUCCAAGGGUCAUCCAAGGUGGUCCAGGAUGGCCUGAGGGUCACUUAAGGUUGUCCAAGGAGGUCCAAGGGUCAUCCAAGGUGGUCCAAGGGUCAUCCAAGGUGGUCCAAGGGUCAUCCAAGGUGGUCCAAGGGUCAUCCAAGGUGGUCCAAGGGUCAUCCAAGGUGGUCCAAGGGUCAUCCAAGGUUGUCCAAGGUGGCCUGAGGGUCAUUCCAGGUGGUCCAAGGUGGUUGAAGGUCCAGCCAAGGUGGCCCAAGCUCCAUCCAGGGUUGCCCAGGGUCCAUCCAAGGUGGCCCCAGGUCCAUCUGAGGUGGCCCAAGGUCCAUCCAAGGUGGUCCAAGAUGGUCCCAGGUCCAUCCGAGGUGGUCCAAGGUCACCCCAGCUCCAUCCCAGGAGAUCCAGAAGCCACCUGAGGCCACCAGAAGCUCCUCAGAUCCCCCAAGACCCCAAAAUCCCCCAAAAAAUCCCAAAAAAUCUCAAAAAAUCCCCCAAAAUCCCCAAAAAAUCCCAAAAAUCCCCCAAAAACCCAAAAAAAAAUCCCCAAAAUGCCCCAAAAAUAAAAAAAAAUUCCCAAAAAAUCCCCAAAAAAUCCCAAAAUCCCCAAAAAAUCCCAAAAUCCCCAAAAAUCCCAAAAUCCCCAAAAAUCCCCGAGGCACUUCCGGGGUGGGGGAGGGGCCUUGGACCUCCCCUCCCCCCCCCAAAUUUGGGCUUUUCCCGCCAAAAAAAAUCGGAAAUUUUGGGGAAGAAUUUUGGGAAUUUUGGGAAAAAAAAAUUAAGAAUUUUGGGGAAAAAUUUGGGAAUUUUGGAAAAAAUUUUAGGAAAAAAAUUGAGAAAAAAUGUGGGAAUUUUGGGAAAAAAUUUGGGAAAAAUUUGGGAAUUUUGAGAAAAAUUUGGGGAAAAAAAUUUGGGAAUUUUGGCAAAAAACUGGGAAAAAAAUUUCGGAAUUUUAGGAAAAAAAUUGGAAAUUUUGGGAAGAAUUUUGGGGAAAAAUUUGGGAAUUUUGGAAAAAAAUUUGUGAAAAAAAUGGGAAUUUUGAGAAAAAAUUUUGGAAAAAAAAUGAAAAUUUUGGGAAAAAAUUGGGAAUUUUAGAAAAAAAAUUGGGGAAUUUCGGGAAAAAUUUUGGGAAAAAUUUUGUGAAAAAAUUUGGGAAUUUUGGGGAAAAAAUUGGGAAUUUUGGGAAAAAUCUUGGGAAGAAAAUUGGGAAUUUUGGGGAAAAAUUUAGGAAUUUUGAGGAAAAAAAUGGGGGAAAUUUUGGAAAAAAAUUGGGAAAUUUUGGAAAAAAUUUUGGGAAAAAAUUUGGAAUUUUGGGGAAAAAUUUGGGAAAACAUUUGGGAAAAAAUUUGGAAAUUUGGGGAUAAUUUUGGGAAAAUUUUUGGGGAAAAUGUUGGGAUUUUUGGGGGCGGGAGCAAAUUCCGAUGGUACCCCCGGGACCUCCCGGCUCCUCCUGGCACUUUAAAGACGCCCCCAAAAUCCCCCCAGGAAAAGAAAAAAAUUAAAAUAAAAAUUAAAAAUAAAAAUUAAAAAUUCA